AGGUCAACCUCAAUCAUAUUUGGCUAUGGAUAUCACUGCAACUUUGGCACUCGACCAAGCGAGGUACAUUGGACAGAUCAACCGGACCAAAAGGCGAGGUAAAGGAAAAGACAGCGGAAUAGGACCAAGGGUGCUCAGCCUUAUCAAAGCGCUUUGAAUAAUAAAUGUGCAAGUAUUGAC
rnacentral:lncRNA from 1 species